rnacentral:rRNA from 2 species
UACGUGAGGGGCGAACGUUGUUCGGUGUCACUGGGCUUAAAGGGCGCGUAGGUGGCUGCGUAAGUAAGGUGUGAAAGCCCUCGGCUUACCCGGGGAAUUGCGCCUUAUACUGCGUGGCUUGAGGAUCUCAGGGGAAGGGGGAACUCCAGGUGUAGCGGUGAAAUGCGCAGAUAUCUGGGGGAAGGCCGGCGGCGAAGGCGCCCUUCUGGGAGAUUCCUGACACUGAGGCGCGAAAGCGUGGGGAGCAAACAGG